rnacentral:rRNA from 1 species
AGCGAACGCUGGCGGCAGGCUUAACACAUGCAAGUCGAGCGGGCAUCCUUGUGGUGUCAGCGGCAGACGGGUGAGUAACGCGUGGGAACGUGCCCUUCGGUUCGGAAUAACUCAGGGAAACUUGAGCUAAUACCGGAUACGUGCGAGAGCAGAAAGGUUUACCUGCCGAAGGAUCGGCCCGCGUCUGAUUAGCUAGUUGGUGAGGUUAUGGCUCACCAAGGCGACGAUCAGUAGCUGGUCUGAGAGGAUGAUCAGCCACACUGGGACUGAGACACGGCCCAGACUCCUACGGGAGGCAGCAGUGGGGAAUAUUGGACAAUGGGGGCAACCCUGAUCCAGCCAUGCCGCGUGAGUGAUGACGGCCUUAGGGUUGUAAAGCUCUUUUCUCCGGGACGAUAAUGACGGUACCGGAGGAAUAAGCCCCGGCUAACUUCGUG